UUGCUCUUUGAGAUGACAUACUUCCUUAUAUCCCCAUAUACGGUAAUAUCAAUCUAUGGAAUGUAAGGAAGUGUGUGGUCUCAAG
rnacentral:pre_miRNA from 1 species